GUGCUCGCUUCGGCAGCACAGAUACUAAAAUUGGAGCAAUACAGAGAAGAUUAGCAUGGCCCCAGCUCAAGGAUGGCAUGGAAAUUCGUGAGGUAUUCCAUAAUUUU